GAUGAACGCUGGCGGCGUGCCUAAUACAUGCCAGUAGAACGCUGAAGCUUGGUGCUUGCACCGAGCGGAUGAGUUGCGAACGGGUGAGUAACGCGUAGGUAACCUGCCUCUUAGCGGGGGAUAACUAUUGGAAACGAUAGCUAAUACCGCAUAAAAGUCGAUAUCGCAUGAUAUUGAUUUGAAAGGUGCAAAUGCAUCACUAAGAGAUGGACCUGCGUUGUAUUAGCUAGUUGGUGAGGUAACGGCUCACCAAGGCGACGAUACAUAGCCGACCUGAGAGGGUGAGCGGCCACACUGGGAAUGAGACACGGCCCAGACUCCUACGGGAGGCAGCAGGAGGGAAUCUUCGGCAAUGGGGGCAACCCUGACCGAGCAACGCCGCGUGAGUGAAGAAGGGUUUCGGAUCGUAAAGCUCGGUUGUAAGAGAAGAACGAGUGUGAGAGUGGAAAGUUCACACUGUGACGGUAACUUACCAGAAAGGGACGGCUAACUACGUG
rnacentral:rRNA from 1 species